rnacentral:lncRNA from 1 species
GGCUGUGCGGCUGUCCCGUCCUCGUGAAGAGGAGCGUUGGGAGGAGCCGGGAGAGACAAGGCUAUGGGCGGCGGGCGGGGACGGCUGUCCCUCCCUCAAGGAGUGGAGUUAGCGAGGCUGCGCUGGGGUGCUCCGUUGCCGAGGAUGGGCCGAGUUCGAGGCGGCAAAGGAAUUGUCUGCCAGGCUUCUGGAGGCACCUGGGCCGUGUGGGUUCACAGCGGUCAUCCAGGGAAUGGAUGGACAUGGUGAGUUUCUGAAGCACGGGCAUCACCCUUAGGGUAGGGGGAGGGCUCCAACACCAAGGCCCCCAGCACACAUUUCACAAGGAAAAAUGACCGUGUCGUGCCUGUGUUGGUAGGUGAUCAACUGUGCUUAACCGAGAAGGGAAUUUUCUCUAGUUAGAGGCCUCACAUUAAGCAUGCAUUGGCUUCAUCUGGAGUGUGCAGAACAGAAUCAUUCUCUUCCCCAUUCCUCACCAAGAACAGUAAUUAGAAUGCAAGUUCAUCUCCAUAUAAUGCAUUAUGACUUUAAUAUCAGUAAAUGCUUCUUACAUAUUAGAUGCAGUGAGGAAAUAUUAGUUGAAAAUUCACAGACUGGUAUGAUCAGUUUCCUCUAGGAUAAAAUGUGAUAAAUGGGUUUUAAUAAACUGAGGAGAAUUAUAGGCACCAUCAUCUUGGUUCCUGUCAAUUUUACUUAGAGUAAAAUGCCAUUGCAAUAAUUAGUUGGUUUUUACUGUAUUCAUUAAAAGUUUUUCUAAUGAC